UACGGGGGGAGCAAGCGUUGUUCGGAUUUACUGGGCGUAAAGGGCGCGUAGGCGGCCUCUGCAAGUCGACUGUGAAAUCUCCGGGCUUAACCCGGAACGGUCAGCCGAUACUGCAGGGCUAGAGUGCAGAAGGGGCAACCGGAAUUCUCGGUGUAGCGGUGAAAUGCGUAGAUAUCGAGAGGAACACCUGCGGCGAAGGCGGGUUGCUGGGCUGACACUGACGCUGAGGCGCGAAAGCUAGGGGAGCAAACGGG
rnacentral:rRNA from 1 species